UUUUUUUUUUUUUUGUUUUUUUUUUUGUUUUUUUAAAUAGGGUCAAUCUUUCUUAUUUUCUCAACAGUUGUGAUAUACUGUGUCACAUUAAAUUAAUAUCCUUAUAUCAGGAAAUUACCAUUGAGGAUCACGGCAGACAAUUAAUUUAUGGCAUACCGUAGUUCUGAAAGUUUAGCAGUGAUGUUUAAAAUGCUAGGACUUUUUUUUUUUUUUCCGGAGCUGGGGACCUAACCCAGGGCCUUGCGCAUGCUAGGCAAGCGCUCUACCACUGAGCUAAAUCCCCAACCCCAAUGCUAGGACUUUUAUAUGAAAAAUAAGAAUUUUGGAUAGUUGUUGGCUAGUAUGGACUCCAAAGAUAUUAACAAGAGGAUUAAAGUAAAAGGAUCUCUAUAUCCCAGGUCAGACAGCCUUUCUGUCAGAACUGCUCUCACUGUACAACACAGCCCCAGCUUGUUCUGGGACAAUGGAGCAUCUAUUCCUUAGCACACUGUAUUGGGUUCUCCCUGACCCCAGCUGUUGUUAAGUUUUUGUUUUAAAGAAAAAAUAUCCAAAACUCUAUUUUGGUUUCUAGGUGUUGAAAUACUGAAAAAGUUUUGCUAGAGGGUGAACUCGUCAAGUGUUACUUAUGCGAAGGUCAGAUUCUUUUGAUAUCCUAUUAAAUUUAGCAUUUACUUUUAGAUGUGUCAUUCAUAUUUAUUUGAUUUUAACACUGGUUAAAGUUCAAUGAAAAGCAAUUUGUUAAUUUUUAGUAGUGCCUUUUUCUCUGUAUGCCUUAAUUUUAUUUUCUAUUUGUAAUUCAGAUUACCUAACAAAAAAAGAAUUUUCCAAAAUCGCUAGGCCUCAAGAGUUUCUUUGGCCUUGGUCUGUGUGUUGGCCCCUAUGUGUUUCUUAAUGCGUAUUUCCUCCUCCUACCCAGUCUACCUCCUUUUAAAAAAUGUUAGGAGAGAGCAGUAGCAUUUGUCUGACUGCAAUCUCCACUAGAUGUGAAUUCCUAAAUAAAUAUAGAAAGGUAUUCUCAUUCGAAAAGACAUAGUAAAAUGAUUUUUUGGGUUGAGUACUUGAUUUUCAGUCAUACUGGCACUGCUCAAGUUCUUUGUGUAUUAUUGUUUGGUUGUGGUUUUCCUAGAACUAGGGCAGUUGUUUUGUCCUAAAGAGCUCCUAUAAGUGUUUCAUGAAGGUUGAGGCGAUGAGCAAGAAUCCAGGGACAACAAACUCUAAUUCUUAGUAUGUAACAUUUGACCAAUACUCUAGCUUACUGUUCUGUGAAGUUGUGAAGUGUGUGUGUGUGUGUGUGUGUGUGUGUGUGUGUGUGUGUGUGUGUGUGUGUGUAUAGUAGGGGCAGGGGUAGGAACGUGUAGUUGUUCAGUUAGAUCUGUCUCUCCUCUUGGAAGAACAACUGAAAAAUGUCUGAUUUACUAUAUGGGAUGAGAAAGGUCAUCCUCAAGUAGUCAUGCCAGGACAUUUUCCAUAAGUAGCUAGUAUGAAUGAUUGUUAAUAAAGGUAUUUAUUGUAAGUUGCCAAGCUCUGAAUUGCUAAAAGUAGGUUAAAAUUCAAUUUGUUUGUUUGUGUCUGUAGUAAUUAGCUUAUAUAUAAUUCUUCAAUAGAAAGUAUGGAAUCUUACAUAUUUCUUCAUGAACUUUUUGGAGUAGAAAUUCUGCCAGACAUUAUCUAAACAAGCUUCCUUAGUUUACCAAGCCAUCAAAAGGCAAUUGCUGCUUCCACUUCUGCCAUUGUCUGACAGGAUGCUGUGCGUGCUGUGGGAAUACCUGGGCCAUCCUCCUUUCCAUUCUCGCUGUCAGAGCUGGAGAUGGAUAGCUUUCAUGGGAACCAAGACUUCUUUUCUCAGAGGUACUGAUAGUGGUCAUGGCUGAGCUUCAGGAAGACCAGGGAGGAGUCAUAGCUAUAGUGAAAAGAGAAUGCGUUGUAUCCAUUGCCUGGAGACAGUCUCAUAGAAUUCUUCAUGUUUUUGUGUAUUUUAAUAGACAGUGGUAAGGUAUUCUGUUCCCAACAGCAAAGACAUUAAACAAGAGAAGACUCCUGUCCUUCUGCCUGGUGAUGUUUGUUUGUACCUCAGUCUGUGUUGCCAGAAUCACUUUAAACCAAAGCUUUUGUAUUCCCUGCAUACAUAGCCAAAAUGAUUAGCCCUGAUACAUUUGCCCAUGUGUGAGGUAAUAGUGUCUGAAUGGUAGAGCAGAUGCUAGUAGACUUUGUUGCCAAUCUUCUUCUCCUUAAGGAAAAGGACAGGUGCUAAGAGUCUGCAUUAGACAUGCAGAAUCCUUGCUACUGUGGAGCUCCUAGACACUGCAGACCUAAGUUCUUCAGCGUGCCAGGCUCACCCACACCCUUUGACCCCUGGUGUGAGAUUUGUGUUGACGUCUGAUGCCUCUGUGGGUGGCUCAUCGUCUUUCUAGUGUCUUAACAUUUAUGAGUUUGUGUUUGACGUAAGGGACUUUCAACACUGCUGUGAAGAGAAGUAGGUUAUGAACUGGUCUGCUUUGUGCCACAAACAUUUGGAACAUCUGCUCCCUCUUCUUUAAACCUUAUAGAAUCUGACCCCCACUGAGGAUUUAUGGGUCUUGUAAUGCCAGUUGAGAAAAGUUUAUGACUAUUCUGAAAAGCACUUUGUAUUCGUUUAUUUGUAUUUAGAACUUAAAAAAAUCCUGUAUAUUCAAUGAUUUUAGCAUUAGCAUCACUUAGAACAGAAGAUAAGUAAUUAAUUAUAUGUUAAACUCUAGUAGAUGCAUUGACUCCAGAAUAUAUUUGACAUGUUCUCAGUUAUCCAAAGACUUUUUUCCUCCUCGCAGUAAGGAGAGUAGACUAGUGUGGGACUCUACAAGCCAGAAAGGCUUAUGGGCAAAAGGAAGUGGGCCAAACCCUUGUCAAUUAAAACCAUAUUGUCUAGGGAUGAGAAUACGUCUUUAUAGACAGUUUUUUAAUAAUUAGUAAGUAAAAGGUUUACAUUUCUUCCAUUGCUGU
rnacentral:lncRNA from 1 species